GACGUAGGGGGCAAGCGUUGUCCGGAAUCAUUGGGCGUAAAGCGCGCGUAGGCGGCCAGAUAAGUCCGGUGUGAAAGUCACAGGCUCAACCUGUGAAUGCCGCUGGAAACUGUCUGGCUUGAGUCCGGAAGGGGCGAGUGGAAUUCCUGGUGUAGCGGUGAAAUGCGCAGAUAUCAGGAAGAACACCCGUGGCGAAGGCGGCUCUCUGGGACGGUACUGACGCUGAGACGCGAAAGCGUGGGGAGCGAACAGG
rnacentral:rRNA from 1 species